rnacentral:rRNA from 1 species
GAUGAACGCUGGCGGCGUGCUUAACACAUGCAAGUCGAACGGAAAGGCCCAAGCUUGCUUGGGUACUCGAGUGGCGAACGGUGAGUAACACGUUGGUGAUCUGCCCUUCACUUUCGGGUAAGGCUGGGAAACUGGGUCUAAUACCCGGUAGGACCACAUUUUGGAUGGGGUGGUGGGAAGUUUUUCGGUGUGGGAUGAGCUCGCGGCCUAUCAGCUUGUUGGUGGGGUAAUGGCCUACCAAGGCGUCGACGGGUAGCCGGCCUGAGAGGGUGUACGGCCACAUUGGGACUGAGAUACGGCCCAGACUCCUACGGGAGGCAGCAGUGGGGAAUAUUGCACAAUGGGCGCAAGCCUGAUGCAGCGACGCCGCGUGGGGGAUGACGGCCUUCGGGUUGUAAACUCCUUUCGCUAGGGACGAAGCGCAAGUGACGGUACCUGGAGAAGAAGCACCGGCUAACUACGUG